rnacentral:rRNA from 1 species
UAAACGACUCUCGGCAACGGAUAUCUCGGCUCUCGCAUCGAUGAAGAACGUAGCGAAAUGCGAUACUUGGUGUGAAUUGCAGAAUCCCGUGAACCAUCGAGUCUUUGAACGCAAGUUGCGCCCGAAGCCUUCUGGUGUAGGGCACGUCUGCCUGGGCGUCACGC